AGUAGAAUGACUGAGGUAUAAGGUGAAGGAUUGUAAAUCUUUUAAGGAGUUAUUUGUACUCUUCUACUA
rnacentral:tRNA from 1 species